UACGGAGGGUGCAAACGUUGCUCGGAAUCAUUGGGCGUAAAGCGCACGUAGGCGGACCGCUAAGUCGGAUGUGAAAGCCCUCGGCUUAACCGAGGAAGUGCAUUCGAAACUGACGGUCUUGAGUAUGGAAGAGGGUCGCGGAAUUCCCGGUGUAGAGGUGAAAUUCGUAGAUAUAGGAAGGAACACCAGUGGCGAAGGCAGCCCCCUGGGCUGACACUGACGCUCAGGCACGAAAGCGUGGGGAGCAAACAGG
rnacentral:rRNA from 1 species